GUUAUAGUUGGGGACAUUCAUGGACAUUAUCAUGACUUACUUCAUCUAUUUGAACUUGCUAAUUUGCCAUCUAAAAGCCAGUAUUUCGUUUUUAAUGGUAAUUAUGUGGACAGAGGAGCAUGGGGACUUGAGGUGUUUUUGGUCUUAUUGGCAUGGAAGAUCUUGAUGCCUGAUAGAGUAUAUAUGCUCCGUGGAAAUCAUGAAACCCGAAGUUGUACAUCA
rnacentral:misc_RNA from 1 species